UCCGUAGGCGGUGUGGCAAGUCGGUAGUGAAAUCUCUCGGCCUAACUGAGAGGCUGCUGCCGAAACUGCCAUGCUCGAGUGCGAGAGAGGCGAGUGGAAUUGCGGGUGUAGCGGUGAAAUGCGUAGAUAUCCGCAGGAACAUCCGAGGCGAAAGCGGCUCGCUGGAUCGCAACUGGCGCUGAGGGACGAAAGCUAGGGGAGCAAACAGGAUUAGAUACCCUGGUAGUCCUAGCCCUAAACCAUCAGGACUUGGGGUUUGCCCUGUACGGGGCAAGUCCCGGAGCUAACGCGUUAAGUCCUGCGCCUGGGAGUACGGUCGCAAGGCUGAA
rnacentral:rRNA from 1 species